UCAGUUACACUGUAUAAAAUCAUUAAUUAAUAUACAGUACAAUUAAUAACACAUUAUUUUUCAUAGCUGUAAAAAACAAAAGAAUGAAACAGUACCUGCAUUUUAGUUUCCAGCCUUUUUCACAAAGUUGCCGACAACUGGAAGAAUGUCCCAAAUUGCUGAAAAAAGAAAUUCAAUUGAGUAAUUUUCACUCUAGAGACCCUGGGGUGACCACCAAGGACGAAUGCAAACUCCAGUGAGUGUCUCUAAGGUAGAUCCUAAUGCAGAUGGAUGGAAUGUUGAUCCGCCUAACAUGCAAGAUUUUCUGUACCGAGAACUUUGGAUGACCAUCAAGACAAGCACUCGUUUUGAGUCCUGAAACCCUGGGGUGACCACCGUGAACAAAUACAGAGUCCAGUCUCUUGUGGGAAGCAGGUGUUUGUUACCCCAAAUACGGAUGAAGAGUGACGAAGAGGAUGAUGAUUUUUUUUCUCAAACAUCUGCUGAAGAUCUUGACAGGCUGGAGACAAAAUUAACAGACUGAGGGUUUAU